rnacentral:rRNA from 1 species
AUUGAACGCUGGCGGCAUGCCUAACACAUGCAAGUCGAACGGCAGCGCGGGGGCGAACCCUCGGCGGCGAGUGGCGGACGGGUGAGGAAUGCAUCGGAAUCUGCCUGGUUGUGGGGGAGUAACGUAGGGAAACUUACGCUAAUACCGCAUACGACCUACGGGUGAAAGUGGGGGACCGCAAGGCCUCACGCGAUCAGAGGAGCCGAUGCCGGAUUAGCUAGUUGGCGGGGUAAAGGCCCACCAAGGCGACGAUCCGUAGCUGGUCUGAGAGGAUGAUCAGCCACACUGGAACUGAGACACGGUCCAGACUCCUACGGGAGGCAGCAGUGGGGGAAUAUUGGACAAUGGGCGCAAGCCUGAUCCAGCAAUGCCGCGUGAGUGAAGAAGGCCUCGGUUGUAAGCUCUUCGUCCGGGAGAAGUACGCACAGGUUAAUACCUCGUGUGGAGUGACGGUACCGG